AAUCCCAGCUGAAAGCUGGGGCCUGUAGGGCCUUGUUGUCAUAGCAGCAGAACCUGACUGUAGGAGAGGGCUCCGCUGGUAACAUGCAAGCUAUCAUGUAUGUACCAUGCCACCCUCCUAUUCCACUCCCCUCAACUCUAACAACAGAUGGAAAGGAAGGCAUAAAGACCACCUGACUUCAGCAAAGGAGAAGGAGAUAUCCAAAGCCUCUUGACAAGAGGGGCUGAGGCUAACUGAAGUUUCUGUGGCAGAAGAGGAGACAAGCUGGAGGGUCACAUAGGAGCUC
rnacentral:lncRNA from 1 species